UACAGAGGGGGCAAGCGUUGUUCGGAAUUACUGGGCGUAAAGGGCGCGUAGGCGGCCUUCUAAGUCGAACGUGAAAUCCCCGGGCUCAACCCGGGAACUGCGUCCGAUACUGGAAGGCUUGAAUCCGGGAGAGGGAUGCAGAAUUCCAGGUGUAGCGGUGAAAUGCGUAGAUAUCUGGAGGAAUACCGGUGGCGAAGGCGGCAUCCUGGACCGACAUUGACGCUGAGGAGCGAAAGCUAGGGGAGCAAACGGGG
rnacentral:rRNA from 1 species